rnacentral:rRNA from 1 species
GACGAACGCUGGCGGCGUGCUUAACACAUGCAAGUCGAACGUGCGGCGGACGGGUGAGAAAAGUAUGGGGACUGCCCGAUAGAGGGGGUUAACUCCUGGGAACGGGGGCGAAUACCGCAUACUUCUGGAUAACCCAAAUGGGAUUCGCUGGUAGGUAAGGUAAUGGCUUAGCUAGGCGACGAUCCCUAGCUGGUCUGAGUGGCUGGUCAGCCACACUGGGAUUGCGACACGGCCCAGACUCCACCGGAGUAAGCGGUGGGAAAUAUUGCCCAAUGGGGGCAGUCCUGAUGCGGCCAUGCCGCGUGUAUGAGGAAGGCCCUAGGGUUGUAAAGUACUUUCAUUCGGGAGGCGUUACCGGCAGAAGAAGCACCGGCUAACUCCGUGCCAGCAGCCGCGGUAAUAC